rnacentral:piRNA from 1 species
UUGAUAUGUUCUAGUUCAUACUAGCCAUCUU